AUACUGAACAUGCUAGAAUUGCUAUUACGGGAUUACAAAAGAGGAUAAAAAAACAUGAUGAAGAAAAGGAAAAGAUUAGGAGGAAAUAUCGAGUUUUGCUGAUCAUUGUGAUACUAUCUUGGAUUUAUAGAGAGUUCUUUAUGUAGUAAAUGUUAUGUAGAUUGGUUGAAAAAGUUAUGCCGGAAUCGUUUUGUUCGUAAUGUAGUUUUCCUUAUGGGUUAGUGGCUACCACUAUCUAUUGUAAGCAAUCAAAAUAAUGGAAGUGAAAUGCACUAUUUUAGAGUUGGCAACAGUUUUGUCUCUCAACAUUGGUUUUACUAUUCAUCACUUUUACAACUUACAAGGACAUUACUUAGCAUGAUUCAUACACUUUCAUACUAGCAUGAUUCACACACUUUCAUACAUAGUAAACACCUAACAUCAAGGCAGCCUAACAUCAAUCAUAACAAACACCAAAAGACUUCACAAAACAUAACUUAAUAUCCAUUAAACUAGGACAACUAAAUACCCUCCAAAGAUUUGUCUAUGCAAACAUACAUCAAAAUAACCCAAAAUACAUCAAAAUGAUCAAUAAUUGGAGUAUGCCUUUACAAACAGUUAUCAAAAUAAACAAAAACAAAGACCUCU
rnacentral:lncRNA from 1 species